UAUAUUUUAGUGUAAGAUGCACAUAGAGUUUUGAUCUCUUUAGUUCUGGUUUGAUUCCAGCAAAUAUAA
rnacentral:tRNA from 1 species